rnacentral:rRNA from 1 species
AGUGAACGCUGGCGGCAGGCCUAACACAUGCAAGUCGAACGGCAGCACAGAGGAGCUUGCUCCUUGGGUGGCGAGUGGCGGACGGGUGAGGAAUACAUGGGAAUCUGCCCAAUCGUGGGGGAUAACGUAGGGAAACUUACGCUAAUACCGCAUACGACCUACGGGUGAAAGCGGCGGACCGCAAGGCGUCGCGCGAUUGGAUGAGCCCAUGUCGGAUUAGCUAGUUGGCGGGGUAAAGUCCCACCAAGGCUACGAUCCGUAGCUGGUCUGAGGGAAUGAUCAGCCACACUGGAACUGAGACACGGUCCAGACUCCUACGGGAGGCAGCAGUGGGGAAUAUUGGACAAUGGGCGCAAGCCUGAUCCAGCCAUGCCGCGUGAGUGAAGAAGGCCCUCGGGUUGUAAAGCUCUUUUGUCCGGAAAGAAAAGCUUUCGGUUAAUACCCGGAAGUCCUGACGGUACCGGAAGAAUAAGCACCGGCUAACUUCGUGCCAGCAGCCGCAGUAAAAC